GAUGAACGCUGGCGGCGUGCCUAAUACAUGCAAGUCGAGCGAACAGAUGAGGAGCUUGCUCCUCUGACGUUAGCGGCGGACGGGUGAGUAACACGUGGAUAACCUACCUAUAAGACUGGGAUAACUUCGGGAAACCGGAGCUAAUACCGGAUAAUAUAUUGAACCGCAUGGUUCAAUAGUGAAAGACGGUUUUGCUGUCACUUCUAGAUGGAUCCGCGCCGCAUUAGCUAGUUGGUAAGGUAACGGCUUACCAAGGCAACGAUGCGUAGCCGACCUGCGGGGGCGGGCGGCCGCACUGGGACGGAGACAGGGUACAGACUCCUACGGGAGGCAGCAGUAGGGAAUCGGCCGGAAGGGGCGAAAGCCAGACGGAGAAACGCCGCGGGAGGGAUGAAGGUCGUCGGAUCGGAAAACUCUGUUAUUAGGGAAGAACAAAUGUGUAAGUGACUAGGCACGUCUUGACGGUACCUAAUCAGAAAGCCACGGCUAACUACGUG
rnacentral:rRNA from 1 species